rnacentral:rRNA from 1 species
UAGUCUACGCCGUAAACGAUGGAUACUAGUUGUUUGAUCUUCGGAUUGAGUGACUAAGCGAAAGUGAUAAGUAUCCCACCUGGGGAGUACGUUCGCAAGAAUGAAACUCAAAGGAAUUGACGGGGGCCCGGCACAAGCGGUGGAGCAUGUGGUUUAAUUCGAUGAUACGCGAGGAACCUUACCAGGGCUUAAAUGUAGUCUGACAGCUUUAGAGAUAGAGUUUUCUUCGGACAGAUUACAAGGUGCUGCAUGGUUGUCGUCAGCUCGUGCCGUGAGGUGUCAGGUUAAGUCCUAUAACGAGCGCAACCCCUGUUGUUAGUUGCCAGCGAGUAAUGUCGGGGAACUCUAGCAAGACUGCCGGUGCAAACCGCGAGGAAGGUGGGGAUGACGUCAAAUCAUCACGGCCCUUACGUCCCUGGGCCACACACAUGCUACAAUGGUAGGUACAGAGGGUAGCGAAGCGGCGACGUGGAGCCAAUCCCAGAAAGCCUAUCCCAGUUCGGAUUGG